rnacentral:rRNA from 1 species
GACGAACGCUGGCGGCGUGCCUAGUACAUGCAAGUAGAACGCUGAAGAGAGGAGCUUGCUCUUCUUGGAUGAGUUGCGAACGGGUGAGUAACGCGUAGGUAACCUGCCUGGUAGCGGGGGAUAACUAUUGGAAACGAUAGCUGAUACCGCAUAAAAUUGAUUAUUGCAUGAUAAUUAAUUGAAAGAUGCAACUGCAUCACUACCAGAUGGACCUGCGUUGUAUUAGCUAGUUGGUGAGGUAACGGCUCACCAAGGCGACGAUACAUAGCCGACCUGAGAGGGUGAUCGGCCACACUGGGACUGAGACACGGCCCAGACUCCUACGGGAGGCAGCAGUAGGGAAUCUUCGGCAAUGGGGGGAACCCUGACCGAGCAACGCCGCGUGAGUGAAGAAGGUUUUCGGAUCGUAAAGCUCUGUUGUAAGAGAAGAACGGGUGUGAGAGUGGAAAGUUCACACUGUGACGGUAUCUUACCAGAAAGGGACGGCUAACUACGUG